GAUUGACUGUAAAGAACUGAUCUUUUAGAAAAGAAUGAAAGUUUGCAUGAAGAGUUUAAGGGCUUAAACUAAAGCAAAUUGUCUGAAAUUUUGUACUGUAAUUAAAACCCUCACAAAGUUAAAGCUUUUAAAUUUUGUGGGCAAGUAAUUUUUAGUUUGUUGGAAAAGGCACUCCCCCAGGUUUUCAAAAUUUGUGUUCGAGA